AGAGAGAAAGGGAGAGAGAGAGAGAGAGAGAGAGAGAGAGAGAGAGGUUCUUUAAUGUCGGCGAUGGAGGAGGAGUCCUCCAAAUGGAUGAUCGAACAGGCGAAGGAGGAGCUGCAGAUUCUGGAAGCCCAACACCCAAAUCGAUUUGGGUUUCUCAAGAUGGAGCUUAGAAACUUCAUCAAUGGAGAAACCAAUACAUCAUCUCCCUUAUAUUUCCACAACAGUUUUGUAUCGUUUCGGAAGGACUCCAUCCCUUCCACGCCUAACUCCUCUGCAACCACACAAGCUUCAUCAAAUGGAAAGAGGAGGAAGUUUUCUGAGAUUGAAAAACCUGAGGAUAAUCCACAAUCAACAAAGCGAAUACUUCGAAGGUCGAAUCACUCAAUGGAGAAGCUCGAUGCUGCCAUUGAAAGGGCUAAAGAAUGCCUAAGAAAAAUCCAAGAAAUCAAAAGAAGUUUUGCAAAUCCAUGAGACAUUGUGGGGAGAAAUGUAUAUAGAUUUGUCAUCUGGAUUCUUGGACCUUCACGGCGACGAAGAUACUGAUGGCGACGGAGAUAUCAACGACGAGGUGUGACAGAUCGACGGUGACGAAGGGAUUGAGAGUGAUGAAGUGACCAGCCGAUCUCCAUCACCCUGUGAUGUAUGUGUCUGAAACCAAACGCCUUAUUCUUCCCUUUCCCCACCUGAACCAAAACAAACAAAUGACAGAGAGAAGAGAGAGUAGCGAGACUUACUUUCAUUGUCCCUUUUUCCACGUUCUUCCUUGCUUUGUUUCAAAAUAGUCACCUUAUGCUUGAAGCUUCAUUGCACAACCGUACCUCCCCUGUAAUUGAAUCUCUAUUUAUUUACUAUCUCUUCUUAUUUUUUGGUGCAAAAGCUUCCAAGGGGAAACAAACCCCAAAGGCAGCAGUUGCCCUUUAAUCUCCAACAAAUCCUCAUAAAACAAAGAUACUCAAACCGUAACUCCCUUAUAUUUGAAUCUCUAUUUUUUUUUUCCUUUUUUUUUGAUAUAUGAUACAAAGGUGAGUGAGUUUCGAUUCCGAUAUGAAAACAUACUAUUUCAUUACCAAAUCAGAGAAACAAGCUCAAAACUCAACAAUUCCAUUACCAAAUUAGAUAUACAAGCAAAAAAAAAAAAAAAACCCUACAAUUCCAUUACCAUCAUUAAACAGAGAAACAAAUAAAAGAAAAAAAAAACCAUACAAUUCCAUUACCGAAUCAGAGAAACAAGCUCAAAACCCAACAAUUCCAUUACCAAAUCAGAUAAAAAAGCUCAAAAAACAAAAA